AUCCUGAUUACGUAUUGGUUUGUGUAAGUAAGCCAUGAAGAAGGAAAUACGAGGAAUCUCUGGGUAGUUUGAUAGUGGUGGUCAGUAGAUGGGUUUUGUACAUGUCGCCCGUCAAGCAAAGUAAGGAGAGAGGGUGUUAAUUAGGAAGAGACUUCUACAAAUAUAUGAAUCCGAAUGGUGUUAAGUCGUAACAAGGUAUAGCCACUGGAAGG
rnacentral:rRNA from 1 species